UCUUUUACUUUGCUCAGUUUCAUCCUCUGUAGUCAUCACUCCUUUCAUUAUUUGUUGGGCCAUGGUAA